rnacentral:rRNA from 1 species
CAGCAGCCACGGUAAUACGUAGGUCCCGAGCGUUGUCCGGAUUUAUUGGGCGUAAAGCGAGCGCAGGCGGUUUGAUAAGUCUGAAGUUAAAGGCUGUGGCUCAACCAUAGUUCGCUUUGGAAACUGUCAAACUUGAGUGCAGAAGGGGAGAGUGGAAUUCCAUGUGUAGCGGUGAAAUGCGUAGAUAUAUGGAGGAACACCGGUGGCGAAAGCGGCUCUCUGGUCUGUAACUGACGCUGAGGCUCGAAAGCGUGGGGAGCGAACAGGAUUAGAUACCCGAGUAGUCCCUGUCUCUUAUACA